rnacentral:rRNA from 1 species
GUAAAGCUUCCCCAGGUCAGNGAUCNGUAGCUGGUCUGAGAGCAUGANCAGCCUCACUGGCGACUGAGACCCGGNCCAGANUNCUNCAGNNGGCAAUNUUCCGCAAUGGGCGCAANCCUGNCNNAGCAUACCGCGUGAGGGAGGANGNCUUUNNGGUUGUAACCCUCUUUUGUCAGGGAAGAAGAAUUGACGGUACCUGAGGAAUAAGCCUCGGCUAACUCCGUGCCAGCAGCCGCGGUAAUACGGAGGAGGCAAGCGUUAUCCGGAAUUAUUGGGCGUAAAGCGUCCGCAGGUGGCUACUCAAGUCUGCUGUCAAAGACCGGGGCUCAACCCCGGAAAGGCAGUGGAAACUGGGAGGCUAGAGUGCGGUAGGGGUAGAGGGAAUUCCCGGUGUAGCGGUGAAAUGCGUAGAGAUCGGGAAGAACAUCGGUGGCGAAAGCGCUCUACUGGGCCGCAACUGACACUCAGGGACGAAAGCUAGGGGAGCGAAUGGGAUUAGAUACCCCAGUAGUCCUAGCUGUAAACGAUGGAGAC